AACUGCUCCCUCCCCUCAGUCCCUCCCGCACACCUCUCCCCACGGCCACAUCGCCCGUCGUCGCCACCGCCUCCCCACGCGACGGAGGCAUCUCUCCCUUAUUUCCCAAGUGCGCGGCAGAUAAUGGCGGAAAUGACGACCACCAACUCUCUCUUCUCCCUCGCCCCGCUCCGCCUCACCCAUCGCCGUCUCAUCUCCCGCACCCCCGGCACAGCCUCACGCUUCCGGAAUCCGGACGGUCGCCUCGAAGGAGGCAGUCGCCUCAACCGUCCCCGGGCCCGGUGGGGGCGCGGGGAGCGGGCUACUCUCGGUGCUCGACCGGGCGCUCACCAACAAGGAGCGGCGCUGCCACGAGCGCGCCCAGGUGCGGCGCAAGGGCAUGGAGGCAGAGAGGUCCGCCGUAGAGGGGAUCCAGGUGCCGGAGAGGAGGAAGAAGGUGGUGAAUAGCACACAUCAGCAGUCGUCCUCCCACGACCCACGCCAGACACGCCCAUGUUCUAUUGCUGCUGAUCCCGCAUUACGGUGCACAUAAACUGUUUGAGGUUAAAAUGACAGUUGUUCUUGGGGAGCUUGGAGGAAGUGAUGAGUAUUCACUACUCGAAUCCUUGAAACAAGGAAAGGUCGAGAAACCUGUUGUUGCUCGGGUUAGUGGGACGUGUGCACGUCUGUUGAAAUUUGAGUCCAAUUUUGCCAUGCUGGUGCGAUGAGUGGUGUGAGUUGGAAUCUGCACAAGCUAAGAAUCAGGCACUAAGGGAUGUUGGGGCUGUUGUUCCUACUUCAUUUGAAGCUCUUAAAAGGAUUAAGGAUUUCAGAAGCUGGUUGAGGAAGGAAAUAUUCCGCCUGUCCCCGAG